AGCGAACGCUGGCGGCAGGCCUAACACAUGCAAGUCGAACGAACUCUUCGGAGUUAGUGGCGGACGGGUGAGUAACACGUGGGAACGUGCCUUUAGGUUCGGAAUAACCCAGGGAAACUUGUGCUAAUACUGAAUGUGCCCUUCGGGGGAAAGAUUUAUCGCCUUUAGAGCGGCCCGCGUCUGAUUAGCUAGUUGGGGAGGUAAAGGCUCACCAAGGCGACGAUCAGUAGCUGGUCUGAGAGGAUGAUCAGCCACAUUGGGACUGAGCCACGGCCCAAACGCCUACGGGAGGCAGCAGUGGGGAAUCUUGCGCAAUGGGCGAAAGCCUGACGCAGCCAUGCCGCGUGAAUGAUGAAGGUCUUAGGAUUGUAAAAUUCUUUCACCGGGGACGAUAAUGACGGUACCCGGAGAAGAAGCCCCGGCUAACUUCGUGCCAGCCGCCGCAGUAA
rnacentral:rRNA from 1 species